rnacentral:rRNA from 1 species
GACGAACGCUGGCGGCGUGCUUAACACAUGCAAGUCGAACGGAAAGGCCCUGCUUUUGUGGGGUGCUCGAUUGGCGAACGGGUGAGUAACACGUGAGUAACCUGCCCUUGACUUUGUUAUAACUUCAUGAAACUUGUGCUAAUACCUGAUAGGAUCUCCUGCUGCAUGUUGGUUUUUGGUAAGUUUCGGCGGUUGGGGAUGGACUCGCUGCUUAUCAGCUUGUUUGUGGGGUAGUGGCUUACCAAGGCUUUGACGGGUAGCCGGCAUGAGAGGGUGACCGGAGAAAAUGGGACGGAGAUAGGGAACAGAAGCGAACGGGAGGCAGCAGUGGGGAAUAUUGAACAAUGGGAGGAAGCAUGAGGAAGAAAAGCAGCGUGCGGGAUGAAGGCCUUCGGGGUGAAAACAGAUGGAGAAUGAGAAGAAGAGGGAGUGACGGUAAUGGGUAAAGAAGCAACGGCUAACUACGUG